AGCAGCCGCGGUAAUUCCAGCUCCAAUAGCGUAUAUUAAAGUUGUUGCAGUUAAAAAGCUCGCAGUUGAAUUUCGGGGUUCUACCGUUGGUCGGGCUAUUGUCUGUACUGGCGUGUAGAAUUUCUACCUUCUGGGGAACUAUCAUGUUAUUAAUUUAGCGUGGUAGGAAACCAGGACCUUUACCUUGAAAAAUUAGAGUGUUCAAAGCAGGCUUAUGUCUGAAUACAUUAGCAUGGAAUAAUAAAAUAGGACGGUGGUUCUGUUUUGUUGGUUUCUGAAUCACCGUAAUGAUUAAUAGGGAUAGUUGGGGGCAUUAGUAUUCAAUUGUCAGAGGUGAAAUUCUUGGAUUUAUUGAAGUACUAACUACUGCGAAAGCAUUUGCCAAGGAUGUUUUCAUUAAUCAAGAACGAAAGUUAGGGGAUCGAAGACGAUCAGAUACCGUCGUAGUCU
rnacentral:rRNA from 1 species